rnacentral:rRNA from 1 species
ACGCUGGCGGCGUGCCUAAUACAUGCAAGUCGAGCGGACCGACGGGAGCUUGCUCCCUUAGGUCAGCGGCGGACGGGUGAGUAACACGUGGGUAACCUGCCUGUAAGACUGGGAUAACUCCGGGAAACCGGGGCUAAUACCGGAUGCUUGAUUGAGCCGCAUGGUUCAAUUAUAAAAGGUGGCUUUCAGCUACCACUUACAGAUGGACCCGCGGCGCAUUAGCUAGUUGGUGAGGUAACGGCUCACCAAGGCGACGAUGCGUAGCCGACCUGAGAGGGUGAUCGGCCACACUGGGACUGAGACACGGCCCAGACUCCUACGGGAGGCAGCAGUAGGGAAUCUUCCGCAAUGGACGAAAGUCUGACGGAGCAACGCCGCGUGAGUGAUGAAGGUUUUCGGAUCGUAAAACUCUGUUGUUAGGGAAGAACAAGUACCGUUCGAAUAGGGCGGCACCUUGACGGUACCUAACCAGAAAGCCACGGCUAACUACGUGCCAGCAGCCGCGGUAAUACGUAGGUGGCAAGCGUUGUCCGGAAUUAUUGGGCGUAAAGCGCGCGCAGGCGGUUUCUUAAGUCUGAUGUGAAAGCCCCCGGCUCAACCGGGGAGGGUCAUUGGAAACUGGGGAACUUGAGUGCAGAAGAGGAGAGUGGAAUUCCACGUGUAGCGGUGAAAUGCGUAGAGAUGUGGAGGAACA